GACGAACGCUGGCGGCGUGCCUAAUACAUGCAAGUAGAACGCUGAAGGAGGAGCUUGCUUCUCCGGAUGAGUUGCGAACGGGUGAGUAACGCGUAGGUAACCUGCCUGGUAGCGGGGGAUAACUAUUGGAAACGAUAGCUAAUACCGCAUAAGAGUAGAUGUUGCAUGACAUUUGCUUAAAAGGUGCAAUUGCAUCACUACCAGAUGGACCUGCGUUGUAUUAGCUAGUUGGUGGGGUAACGGCUUACCAAGGCGACGAUACAUAGCCGACCUGAGAGGGUGAUCGGCCACACUGGGACUGAGACACGGCCCAGACUCCUACGGGAGGCAGCAGUAGGGAAUCUUCGGCAAUGGACGGAAGUCUGACCGAGCAACGCCGCGUGAGUGAAGAAGGUUUUCGGAUCGUAAAGCUCUGUUGUAAGAGAAGAACGAGUGUGAGAGUGGAAAGUUCACACUGUGACGGUAGCUGACCAGAAAGGGACGGCUAACUACGUG
rnacentral:rRNA from 1 species